rnacentral:rRNA from 1 species
GAUGAACGCUGGCGGCGUGCUUAACACAUGCAAGUCGAACGAAGCACCUUGAUUUCUUCGGAUUGAUUGGUGACUGAGUGGCGGACGGGUGAGUAACGCGUGGGUAACCUGCCUCACACAGGGGGAUAACAGUUAGAAAUGACUGCUAAUACCGCAUAAGACCACAGUACCGCAUGGUACAGUGAUAAAAACUCCGGUGGUGUGAGAUGGACCCGCGUCUGAUUAGCUAGUUGGUGAGGUAACGGCUCACCAAGGCGACGAUCAGUAGCCGACCUGAGAGGGUGACCGGCCACAUUGGGACUGAGACACGGCCCAA